rnacentral:rRNA from 1 species
GUGAAAUUGUUGAAAGGGAAGCGCUUGCAGCCAGACUUGCCUGUAGUUGCUCAUCCGGACUUUUGUCCGGUGCACUCUUCUAUAGGCAGGCCAGCAUCAGUUUGGGCGGUUGGAUAAAGGUCUCUGUCAUGUACCUCCUUUCGGGGAGGCCUUAUAGGGGAGACGACAUGCAACCAGCCUGGACUGAGGUCCGCGCAUUUAUGCUAGGAUGCUGGCGUAAUGGCUGUAAGCGGCCCGUCUUGAAACACGGACCAAGGAGUCUAACAUCUAUGCGAGUGUUUGGGUGUCAAGCCCGAACGCGUAAUGAAAGUGAACGGAGGUGGGAACCCUUUAGGGUGCACCAUCGACCGAUCCUGAUGUCUUCGGAUGGAUUUGAGUAAGAGCAUGGCUGUUGGGACCCGAAAGAUGGUGAACUAUGCUUGAAUAGGGUGAAGCCAGAGGAAACUCUGGUGGAGGCUCGCAGCGGUUCUGACGUGCAAAUCGAUCGUCAAAUUUGGGCAUAGGGGCGAAAGACUAAUCGAACUAUCUAGUAGCUGGUUCCUGCCGAAGUUUCCCUCAGGAUAGCAGUAACGUAUUCAGUUUUAUGAGGUAAAGCGAAUGAUUAGAGGCCUGGGGGUUGAAACAACCUUCACCUAUUCUCAAACUUUAAAUAUGUAAGAAGUCCUUGUUACUUAAUUGAACGUGGACACUUGAAUGUACCGUUACUAGUGGGCCAUUUUUGGUAAGCAGAACUGGCGAUGCGGGAUGAACCGAACGCGGGGUUAAGGUGCCAGAAUGCACGCUCAUCAG